GCGAGGGUGGCGGAAUUGGUAGACGCACUAGCUUGAGGUGCUAGCGGGUAACACCGUGGGGGUUCGAGUCCCCCCCUUCGCA
rnacentral:tRNA from 1 species